GCCCUUUGUUUCCAGAGCAAGGAGGAGGAGUUACAGAGUGUUCUGGAUCAGCUUCAGCAGGCCCAGGAGGAGCGUGACUGCCACCUGAAGACCAUCAGCAGCCUGAAGCAGGAGGUGAAGGACACAGUAGAUGGGCAGCGAAUCCUGGAGAAGAAAGGCAGUGCCGCGCUUAAGGACCUCAAGCGGCAGCUGCAUCUGGAGAGGAAACGGGCGGAUAAGCUGCAGGAGCGGCUGCAAGACAUCCUCACCAACAGCAAGAGCCGCUCUGGUGAGGGACGUGGACCCCUGGAGGCUGAGGCCCAGGGAGGCAGGGCUUGGGCCAGAAGGCCAGAGCUGCUGCUUGUACCUCAUUCCACCCGCUCUUCUGAGUCUUCUGUCCCUCUUGAACUUGGUCUGUUUUCCCUUUUUUCUGUGUCUCCAUCUCCUUUUUCUGUGUCUCUUCUGUUUCUGUCUCUGCAUCUUCG